rnacentral:rRNA from 1 species
GACGAACGCUGGCGGCGUGCUUAACACAUGCAAGUCGAACGGAAAGGCCCUGCUUUUGUGGGGUGCUCGAGUGGCGAACGGGUGAGUAACACGUGAGUAACCUGCCCUUGACUUUGGGAUAACUUCAGGAAACUGGGGCUACUACCGGAUAGGAGCUCCUGCUGCAUGGUGGGGGUUGGAAAUUUUCGGCGGGUGGGGAUGGACUCGCGGCUUAUCAGCUUGUUGGUGGGGUAGUGGCUUACCAAGGCUUUGACGGGUAGCCGGCCUGAGAGGGUGACCGGCCACAUUGGGACUGAGAGACGGCCCAGACGCCUAUGGGAGGCAGCAGGGGGGAAUAUUGCACAAUGGGCGGAAGCCUGAUGCAGAAACGCCGCGUGCGGGAUGACGGCCUUCGGGUUGUAAACCGCUUUCGCCUGUGACGAAGCGUGAGUGACGGUAAUGGGUAAAGAAGCACCGGCUAACUACGUG